CACUCCCGUGGCUAAAGGAAAAGCGCUGGCCUUGUAAGACAGAAGUGGACGGAACCAACCCUCCCGUGAGUACA
rnacentral:tRNA from 1 species